rnacentral:lncRNA from 1 species
CUUAAUUUAAAAGAAGUUUAAAUGAAGGUUUUCUUCGAAUAAUAAUGCGUUUUUCGUUCCCUAGUGGUGUGAUGUUACAACGAAAAUUUAUUGUUGAUAAUAUUUCAUAUAAUUAUUUAUUUCUCUUUUCAGCAUUUGUAAAGAAGUGGCUUCACCUUUCUGGUUACUAUUCAUGUGUUGUGUAUUAAUGUAUCGCAACACUUUAUAGUUAUUGGACAGGUUAAACUCAGACGACGAAUCAUCCAAACAGCACCAGAUCUUUUGUGAUUCCAGCUGAUUUCAGAUCACUAGCAAUACAUGAUAAUAGAAAGUUUGAAAGUUCCAGUUCGUGUAACUGAUUUGAUUAAAUGAUUAACAAAUAUUGAAAUUUUAAAAUACAGAAAAAAGAUACAAGUUUAAUAAUGAUUGUAAUAAAGAAAAUGUAAGUUUUGUUAAUAAAAUGAAAG